UUUAUGGAGAGUUUGAUCCUGGCUCAGGAUGAACGCUGGCGGCGUGCCUAAUACAUGCAAGUCGAGCGAACGGACGAGAAGCUUGCUUCUCUGAUGUUAGCGGCGGACGGGUGAGUAACACGUGGAUAACCUACCUAUAAGACUGGGAUAACUUCGGGAAACCGGAGCUAAUACCGGAUAAUAUUUUGAACCGCAUGGUUCAAAAGUGAAAGACGGUCUUGCUGUCACUUAUAGAUGGAUCCGCGCUGCAUUAGCUAGUUGGUAAGGUAACGGCUUACCAAGGCAACGAUGCAUAGCCGACCUGAGAGGGUGAUCGGCCACACUGGAACUGAGACACGGUCCAGACUCCUACGGGAGGCAGCAGUAGGGAAUCUUCCGCAAUGGGCGAAAGCCUGACGGAGCAACGCCGCGUGAGUGAUGAAGGUCUUCGGAUCGUAAAACUCUGUUAUUAGGGAAGAACAUAUGUGUAAGUAACUGUGCACAUCUUGACGGUACCUAAUCAGAAAGCCACGGCUAACUACGUGCCAGCAGCCGCGGUAAUACGUAGGUGGCAAGCGUUAUCCGGAAUUAUUGGGCGUAAAGCGCGCGUAGGCGGUUUUUUAAGUCUGAUGUGAAAGCCCACGGCUCAACCGUGGAGGGUCAUUGGAAACUGGAAAACUUGAGUGCAGAAGAGGAAAGUGGAAUUCCAUGUGUAGCGGUGAAAUGCGCAGAGAUAUGGAGGAACACCAGUGGCGAAGGCGACUUUCUGGUCUGUAACUGACGCUGAUGUGCGAAAGCGUGGGGAUCAAACAGGAUUAGAUACCCUGGUAGUCCACGCCGUAAACGAUGAGUGCUAAGUGUUAGGGGGUUUCCGCCCCUUAGUGCUGCAGCUAACGCAUUAAGCACUCCGCCUGGGGAGUACGACCGCAAGGUUGAAACUCAAAGGAAUUGACGGGGACCCGCACAAGCGGUGGAGCAUGUGGUUUAAUUCGAAGCAACGCGAAGAACCUUACCAAAUCUUGACAUCCUUUGACAACUCUAGAGAUAGAGCCUUCCCCUUCGGGGGACAAAGUGACAGGUGGUGCAUGGUUGUCGUCAGCUCGUGUCGUGAGAUGUUGGGUUAAGUCCCGCAACGAGCGCAACCCUUAAGCUUAGUUGCCAUCAUUAAGUUGGGCACUCUAAGUUGACUGCCGGUGACAAACCGGAGGAAGGUGGGGAUGACGUCAAAUCAUCAUGCCCCUUAUGAU
rnacentral:rRNA from 1 species